AUUGAACGCUGGCGGCAGGCCUAACACAUGCAAGUCGAGCGGUAGCACAGAGAGCUUGCUCUCGGGUGACGAGCGGCGGACGGGUGAGUAAUGUCUGGGAAACUGCCUGAUGGAGGGGGAUAACUACUGGAAACGGUAGCUAAUACCGCAUAACGUCGCAAGACCAAAGUGGGGGACCUUCGGGCCUCAUGCCAUCAGAUGUGCCCAGAUGGGAUUAGCUAGUAGGUGGGGUAACGGCUCACCUAGGCGACGAUCCCUAGCUGGUCUGAGAGGAUGACCAGCCACACUGGAACUGAGACACGGUCCAGACUCCUACGGGAGGCAGCAGUGGGGAAUAUUGCACAAUGGGCGCAAGCCUGAUGCAGCCAUGCCGCGUGUGUGAAGAAGGCCUUCGGGUUGUAAAGCACUUUCAGCGGGGAGGAAGGCGUUAAGGUUAAUAACCUUGGCGAUUGACGUUACCCGCAGAAGAAGCACCGGCUAACUCCGUGCCAGCAGCCGCGGUAAUACGGAGGGUGCAAGCGUUAAUCGGAAUUACUGGGCGUAAAGCGCACGCAGGCGGUCUGUCAAGUCGGAUGUGAAAUCCCCGGGCUCAACCUGGGAACUGCAUUCGAAACUGGCAGGCUAGAGUCUUGUAGAGGGGGGUAGAAUUCCAGGUGUAGCGGUGAAAUGCGUAGAGAUCUGGAGGAAUACCGGUGGCGAAGGCGGCCCCCUGGACAAAGACUGACGCUCAGGUGCGAAAGCGUGGGGAGCAAACAGGAUUAGAUACCCUGGUAGUCCACGCCGUAAACGAUGUCGAUUUGGAGGUUGUGCCCUUGAGGCGUGGCUUCCGGAGCUAACGCGUUAAAUCGACCGCCUGGGGAGUACGGCCGCAAGGUUAAAACUCAAAUGAAUUGACGGGGGCCCGCACAAGCGGUGGAGCAUGUGGUUUAAUUCGAUGCAACGCGAAGAACCUUACCUGGUCUUGACAUCCACAGAACUUAGCAGAGAUGCUUUGGUGCCUUCGGGAACUGUGAGACAGGUGCUGCAUGGCUGUCGUCAGCUCGUGUUGUGAAAUGUUGGGUUAAGUCCCGCAACGAGCGCAACCCUUAUCCUUUGUUGCCAGCGGUCCGGCCGGGAACUCAAAGGAGACUGCCAGUGAUAAACUGGAGGAAGGUGGGGAUGACGUCAAGUCAUCAUGGCCCUUACGACCAGGGCUACACACGUGCUACAAUGGCAUAUACAAAGAGAAGCGACCUCGCGAGAGCAAGCGGACCUCAUAAAGUAUGUCGUAGUCCGGAUUGGAGUCUGCAACUCGACUCCAUGAAGUCGGAAUCGCUAGUAAUCGUAGAUCAGAAUGCUACGGUGAAUACGUUCCCGGGCCU
rnacentral:rRNA from 1 species